AUCACAUUGCAGCAUUCAUUCUCUCUUCCCCAUUAAUAUUUUUCAAGAACUUGUACUGCAACUCAAACUAUUCAGUUCUCCCUUUACCGUGACCAAUAUUUCAUGGUUAUGUAUACUAUUUGCAAAAGAAAAAUGAAGAUGGCACAGAUGUGACAAACGACGUCGUAGAAGCAGAGGGCAGACCAUAACUAACUAUGAGCGGGAAAAAUGAUUUUGAAACUGAAAAAGACCGCCAUUUCCUCUUUGUCGAUUGCGAUCUGUAACCGAAACCAAAACCCCAAAAAAAAGAAAAAAGAAAAAAGCCCCAAAUCCACUGCAAACCCUAAACCUCUGCAAAUCAAUCCAACCAACCAUGCACGACGAAGGAAACAGCGUCUACGCCACGCGCUCGACGAAGAAGCGAGCCUCGGCGGCGGAGGCCCUGAAAGCUCCGGCGUCCAAGAAGCAUCGAUCAGUACUCGGAGAGAUCACCAACUCGCCGGAACUGGCCUCGGCUCCGAAGAAACCGAAAAUCGAUAAGGAAGAGGAAGAAGAGGAGGAGGGACUGAAGACGGAGAUCGGUGUGAACUCGAUUGAUCCGGUCAAAUGUGCUUACUCGCCUUCUAUGUAUAAGCAUCUUCAGAAAUUGGAGGUAGCUAGUGUUCUGAUUUUGUGGUCCACGUUUGGAAUUUGGUGAAUAGAUCAGAAUUUAUUAGAAUCAUUGUUGCUGUGUUUGACAUUUUAUCUGGUAAAAUGAUGCAUGAGAGAAUUCAGUUUCAGAUUUUUCGGAAUCCCGGUGGCAGAUUAUGUUAAGUAGUAGUUUUGGUUGUAGUUAUGGUCAUUGAAGGCAGAAGAAGCUUAGCUCGAAUAGUCGAAAUGUGUUUGAGCUUCCUUUUCUUUCAUCUGAUUUUUGCUUCCUGUCUAUGUCAUAGAUAGUUGUAUUUAAGCUGAGGCUGAUGGUGGUGUGUGAUUCAGGUGGAGGGGAAGAGUAGACCUUUCUGCGGUUACAUGGAGAAGGUGCAGAAUGGCAUUUCAGAACACAUGCGAGAAGUCCUGGUAGAUUGGUUGGUGGAGGUUGCGGAGGAAUACAAGUUUGUUUCAGACACCCUUUAUCUUACCGUAUCAUAUAUUGACAGAUACCUUUCUUCACACGUUAUCAGCAAGAACAAGCUACAGCUUCUUGGUGUUGCGUGCAUGUUUAUUGCCUCGUAAGAAUUUGAAUGUUGCAUUAGCUUUGUUCUUGCUCAGAAGUCGUCCAGAGAUUCUUGAAAUGGUAAUUUGAGUCUGGUUGUGUGAUGCAGGAAGUAUGAAGAGAUUUGUCCUCCACGCAUUGAAGAGUUCUGCUAUAUAACUGAUAAUACCUACAUGAUAGAAGAGGUGACUGAUUUGACUGUCUUUGACCCCUAUUUCUGCUACACAUGUGUCUUUCAAUUGCUUUCUGUUUCAAUUUUUGUUACUGAGCUAUUUAAGCUUAAGGUGGAAUUUUUUAUUUGACUGUCAGGUGUUGGAAAUGGAGAAACAUGUACUCAAAUGCUUGAACUUUGAGACUUAUACUCCCACAACAAAGAACUUUCUCAGGCGAGUAAUCCUUUUAGACAUCGCUGGUCUUUUGUUUGUCAAACUUCAAUUUUGGUGGUUUUUAUUCCACCUAUGUGGUUAGUGUUUGAAAAUUCAGUAAUGUUGCUUUUUUUCUUUUUAUUUGCAGAAUCUUCGCGAGAGCUGCUCAAGAGAAUUCCAAAGUAGGAGAACAGUGUAUAUUGUUUUGAUGCUUGUUGGCUUUUAUCUGCCUUUAUUUGUUAAUGAUUUUAUUUUUCUUGCUUUACAUUACAGUCUUCGGAUCUGCGGUUUGAAUUCUUGGGCGGUUAUCUUGCCGAACUAAGUUUGCUUGAUUACUGCUGUGUUCGAUUCCUACCAUCAAUUGUUGCUGCAUCAGCGGUUUUUCUUUCUAAGUUCACAUUUCAGCCUGAGGUUCACCCCUGGGUAAGAAAUAAUGUAGCAGACUUUGUACAUAUGGACUACUGAAUUUUAUCUAAAGUUGGAAUCUUGCAACUUAAUACUGACUGAGACUGUUAGAAAUAUAUUGCGAUUAUUGAUCUCUCCACAUAUGUUGCAGAGUUGGGACUUGCAAUGCUAUUCUGGUUAUAAACCAUCGGACUUACAAGAUUGUAUCCUUGCCCUUCAUGACUUGCAGCUGAAUAAAAGAGGAUGCAAUUUGAGAGCUGUUAGAGAUAAAUAUAUGCAAGCAAAGGUAAUGUAAUUUUAGGUUCAGGUAAUUUGCAUCUUGAAAUGUCCAUGCAAAUUUGUUGAUAUUUUUGAGUUCAUCUUCCAAAAGGGCUUAUACAUUUCUAAAUGGCUGGAAAUUACAGAACCUGUGUAAGUUGUCUGUGCAUUUCUAGAAAUACACUAGGGGUCCAUAAGGAAAUUAACUUGAGGAAAUGUCAUGCUGCUUUUCACUCAUUUUUAUCUGCUCUUUGACGAUUUGACAAUUUUUUUGGGCAGUUCAAGUGCGUAGCAACAUUUUCUUCACACUCGGAGAUUCCUGCAUUUUAUUUUGAGCAAUCGACUAAGUGCUAGAUUUGUGCAUAAGCUAUGGCUUGAGUAUGUUUGUCAUCGUUUCUUCAACACAUUAGCUGCGAAUCUGCUAUAGUAUACAUAACGAGCCUAAAGACUCCAGAUAGGUUGCUUGGGACGGAUCAUAUUUUCCACUUUGCAGAUGUUUGUAAAUUGUGGUUGCCCUGAAUCAAGGAUUACUAGUAACUUUUUCGAGGCAUCAAAGUCCUCUUGAUGUCUGAAUCCUCGACCCAAGUUUUGAUCUCCUCUGCUCACCAACUUCCUUUAAGCAGCUGUAUUCGUAUUGUGGUUCAUGUGUAUGAUCUCGCACGGUUCAGUAUCCUGCUUUAUAAACCGAGGUAAAAUAAAAGGAAGAGAAACUUAAAAAAAGAAAAGACAAAAAGAAAUGAAUUUUGAAGAGUCGCUCAAGGGACCCUAUUGGACAUUUGUACUCAAACUUUUAGAAGCUAGUAAAAAAUCGAAAACACAAGUUGAACACAGAUAAGCUUUAAAACAGAUAAUAAUCUAAACAUUUGUUCAAUAUUUAAUAAAAAUCAUAACACAUCAUCCAACAUAUACUGAUACAUAUUUUCCUAUAAGAUAUUUGAGCAAUUUAGUGGAAACAACCCCAACUACAGCUACCUUACCAUAUUCUGAAUUCAAUAGUUUCAAUAAACCCCCGAUGCUAGUUCGUUUUGGGCGGCCAGAUCUAGGAUUAAUCUCAACGGUUUGUGUAGCCAUAUUCAUUAAGAUCUGUUGACUUUGUAUACAAUUCUGUUAUAAAUAAAUGAUCUUAUCAUAGAUCCAUUGUGGUCUUAAAACUACAUAAUGUCUUAAAACUAUGUAAUAAUGGAAACAACCCUAGUUGCCCGUAAACGAUGGAUACUAGGCGUUGCGUAUUGACUCGUGUAGUGCUGUAGCUAACACAUUAAGUAUCCCGCCUAGGGAGUACGUUCGCAAGAAUGAAAUUCAAAGGAAUUGACGGGGGCCCGUACAAGCGGUGGAGCAUAUGGUUUAAUUCGAUGCAAAGCAAAAAACCUUACCAGAGCUUGACAUGCCGCAAAUUUGAAAAAGAGGGGUACCUUCGGGAAUGCGGACACACACCACAGCAAGUAAAGUAGACACUAGAUGGUAAAUAAUGUCAAAUCAUCAUCAUACCCCUUUCCCUUUCCCUUCCGUACAAAUCAAUGUUGGAUCAACAUUAAUUUCCUUGCUCAACCCCCAAUCCUGAAACCUUAAGAACCUAUCUGGUCGGCCUGGCACUCACUCCUCAGCAGCUACGGGGAUGUCCUUUCACUCCGUAGAAGCUACAGGGAUGUUCUUCAUCUUCCACACCAUCGGCCUUAUGUUCUCCAUCUUCCAUACACCAUCGUUCUUAUGUUCUCCAUCUUCCAUACACCAUCGGUCUUUUCCCUUUUUUUUUUGCCAUACUCAUUUGCUGUUAGCUGUGUAACGGAAGAAAUAUGGAUCUGGUUCUUCAAAGGAAGGUCGGUAAUUCACAAACUUGUCCCCUAACCUGUCAAAUCACCAUCAUUUUCUUUUUUCCAUUGCCCAAAUCUCUCUGUCUUUCCACAUUUACCUGCGGCUUUAGAAUUCUCAGCCAUUUUCUUACGCCGUGGUGUUUGAAGUAAGGAUUGAAAAUUCGAUAUAAUCAGGCCAUAUUUCAUCGAAAAUAUCGUUUCUUUUUUCAACUCCCGAUAUUCUUUUUGCCUACCAUGUAAAUCCUGACUAAAGCUUUCGAAAUAUCGCGAUAUAUUGUGAAAGUCUCGAAAUUGAAGUGAAACACGCGACACAGGGACUAAUAUCAGCACAAACAUGAAAAUCUACACAAAAGUCAAAGUGAGGCUAAGGAGAAACGAACUCUGGUUACUCAGAAUGUAACUAAACUCCCUAACCAACUUUGCUGUGAUGCUUUUGGUUAUUACUUGUACAAUUUAAUAUAUAAACUCUUUCAAUAAUUUUAUAUUUUUUCUAUGAAAAUUUUAAUGACAUCGAUAUUUACUAAUAUAUCCAUCGAAAUGUCCAUAUUUUAAAGGUCGAAAUAUCCUUUAUAGUGGAUAUUUUAUUCCUUGGUUUGAAAUCACUUGUUCAAGAUAUUUUAUGGUUUGUUUCGUCGUUCCAAGUUUGCAUCUUUCGCCACAUACAUAGAGAAGCUAAUUUUGUUACAGAGAUUAGUUGAGAAGAGGAGUUACUCGUGGGGGUGUGUGUGUGUGUGUUUGUUUUUUUUUUUUGGUAGUUUCAUCGUUGUUUCUCUUUCUUUCUAUAAUUGAAAAAUGGGACCUUUUGUAAUUACCAAAAUGGCCAUGUCCAUGGCUAUAAAUUAGAGUAACGGGCAACGACGCCAAAAACUUGUUGGUAACACAUCUGACGUCGAAAUAAUGCAAAUGUGUGUGUGAUGAUACCUGCGAUGCUAUCUACUCCCAAGUAUAUGAGGUCAAGUUUUAGUAAGGGAUAAAUAGAGUGUCGAACCCACAAAGAUUGGGGCAAACUCAAUCCUAGCUUAGAUUACCGCAAAAAUAAUCUAGAAAACACAUGCAAGUCUACAUUUCACAUGUUAAUGAUGUAGGCCCGUUGAAAGCCAACACCACCAAAGUGAUGAUAUAAACAAUGAAAGUAAUGAAUCGGCUUUGAGUUGAUUUUAACUAAAGUAAAUCUAAAGUGCAAAUAAGGAAACAGGUUAUAAGCCAAAUUUGAGACAGGUUAAAGGGGAAAUGUAUCUCAUAUUUAUCUUCAUUCAGACAACAACAUAUUGUCCAAGGCGUUGUACCGGUUUCAUGGAAAAGAAUUCUGGAAUGAUCUCAGAUUUAUCACACAACACCUGACAAAUUUAAAACGUUGUAUCAAUCAUUUUUGAAAUUUAUACAAUCUUGUUAUUUCGCAUAGUUGUGUGAUAAGAGUCUUUUGUUGCACUUUUUGGCGUAGUAUGUGAAGAGAAUAGAUCAAUGAGAGGAGUAAGAGACUUAGACAUCAUACCUAGCCUUACUCAUGCACAAAUGUAACCCAUAAUUAUUGAUACGAAAACAUGUUUUGACAAAUUUCCCCUAGUGUUUUGGUGAAGCUACCAAGAAACGAACUAAUCAUGCGAUUUAACAAAGUCUUUUGAAGCUAGGUUAAUCACACAACCUUAGUCCCAUUUAUGCCUCCUUAAAACACAAGUGAGCUAUGUACCGCCAGCCUAACCCCAUUUUAGAGCGAUUAAACUCACCGCAUAAGCAUUAAGUUCAAAAUAAGAAAUUCAAGCGACUUAAUAUUUCCCAUAAGAAAUACUAAGCCACCACCUAAAGGCCUCUUUUCUCUCUCAUUUUGUAAGCUUGUAGUUGUAGUUUUGGAGAGAGAAAGAGUUGUUAUAGCUUGGGGGUAUACCAAAGCCACUCCACCUCACUCUCUUCAUCCUCUACUCAUAGUUAAGCUUGUUUUUUCUUAGAUUGUAUAGAUUUGUAUAGUGUUUAUGAUUGUUUUUUUUUGGUUAGAGCCCAUAAAUACCAUACUUAGAAGCACUCUUUUACUUUUCUUUUCGUCCCGCACUUUGAUUUCAUAUUUCAAACCUGUUCCUUAGUUUGUGUGGAUUUAUAUGGUGUCAUUUUAUCAAAAAACACAAGGAAAAAAACAGCACUUUAGAGCUAACCCGACCCAGAAAACAUUAGAUCCUGAUUCUUGUCCAAAGUCUGACCCGCCUGAGUCUCCAACAAUAUAUAAUUUUUAUACUCCCUCAUUUACUAAGUGGUAGACUUUCUUUCUUUAAUACUUAGUCAAUGCCAUUAAUUUUCAAUUGCGAGACAGAUUUCAUGAGCAAUACUCUUUCGAAAAAUAAAACAUCAAUCAUUAUACAAAAUAAAUAUACAUAUUGAAUAUUCUAUUACUUUUGGCUCAACUUGAUUCCGCCAUCAAUGGUCUUUGCAUUAUCAUCUUCCACAAUCUCGAUUUUCUAUAUCUUGUCCCCUUCUAUAGACUCAAUAUAAAUUAAAUAUCAUUCAAGUAAUUUUCAAAAUAAUUACAUAUCUCCGAUCUUAUCUUCCGGGAACACUCAGUUAUCACUUUGUGAAGUAUUGUACGUGAAAGGAUAUUAAAUAUUAUAUUACUUUAGGCUCAACUUGAUUCCGCCAUCAAUGAUCGUUGCAUUAUCAUAUUUCGUAGUCUCGAUUUUCUAUAUCUUGUUCCUUCUACAGACUCAAUAUAAAUUAAAUAUCAUUCAAGUAACUUCCAAAAUAAUCACGUAUCUUCGAUCUUAUCUUCCGGGAACACUCAAUGAGAUAUAAAAUAUAAUCACGUAUCUCUUCACUUUUUGGCGUAGUGAAGAGAAUAGAUCAAUGAGAGGAGUAAGAGACUUAGACAUCACACCUAUCCUUACUCAUGCACAAAUGUAACCCAUAAUUGAUAUGAAAACAUGCUUUGACAAAUUCCCCCUAUUGCUUUGGUGAAGCUACCAAGAAACGAAUUAAUUAUGCAAUUUAACAAAAUCUUUUGAAACUAGGUUAAUCACACAACCUUAGUCCUAUUUAUGUCUCCUUAAAACAUAAGUGAGCUAUGUACUGCAAGCCUAACCCCCUUAUAGAGCAAUUAAACUCACCGCAAAAGCAUAAGUUCAAAGUAAGAAAUUCAAGCAACUUAAUAUUUCUCGUAAUAAAUACUAAGCCACCACAGUUAAGCUUGUUUUCUCUUAGAUUGUAUAGAUUUUUUUUUUUCUUUUUUUGGUAGAGCCCAUAAAUACCAUAUUUAGAAGCACUCUCUUACUUUUCUUUUCUUCCCGCACUUUGAUUUCAUAUUUCAAACCUGUUCCUUAGUUUGUGUGGAUUUGUAUGGUGUUAUUUUAUCAAAAAACAUAAGGAAAAAAAAAGAAGCACUUUAGCUAACCCGACCUGUAAAAUAUUGGAUCUUGAUUCCUGUCCAAAGUCCGACCCGCCCGAGUCUCCAACAACAAGUUUAAACUCAAUAGAAAAUGACAUCCCACUACUCUAAACAGUUACAAAAAAUAGAAAACCCACAUUUUAAAAGAUUUAAAUAAAUAAGGACAUAAGCCCAAGCACAAUAACAGAUAAGAACAUAGAUGACCUGGAUUUCAAAUGGAAAAUUACCAAAAUGCUUAGUUUUUCAACAAAAUUAUGUGACAUGCCACACCCUUUCUUCUCUCUUCCUCCUGAUAUGAUUCUCUCUCUCUCUCUCUCUCUCUCUCUCUCUCUCUCUGAUUCUAAGCUAUGGUUUUGAUUUGAAAACUCGGAAUCAGAAUCAAUGGCUUGCCUCUUCUCCACUCUCUUCUUCCAUAUGCCUUCGACGGAGUUGCCGCCGGCGACGACCACCGCAAAUCGAAAGCUUCUGCAACUCGUCAACAAUGUCGUUGAUGCUUCACUGAUCUGGUGUGGCGGAUCGCAUUUUCUCAAGGAGAUAAACCACUUCAAAGGCCAUGAAUUGUCGCCCUCGAAUGCUUCGAGUUAUCCAUGCUCGAUAGAGCCUUGGGUGACAUAGGCGUGCUUGUAGAUCUUAGUUACGACGACGUUCUGGAGGUUGUGGAUGCGAUGAUUGCAUGGAUAGAUCUACAGGUGGAUGUUCAUUUUCAGUUUGGUUUUAUAAUUGUUGAUGGAAAUUAUAAUUGAAUUCAUUUGGGUGCUAUGGUUGUAUGGUUAAUUAAUGUGUGGAGGAAUGAAGUUAUUGCUACUGGAGGUGCUUUGGUGGUGUUAAUCUGUUGUUGAAGUAGACUAAGAAAGGUAAGGGAGGAAAGUAGAUUUGGAUCUCAGUUAGCAGUAGUAGCUCUGUGGUUAACAGUAGCAGACAAUAACAAUACGUUUUAGUAAGCAGUAGCAUUGGCAAUAAUAAUAGCAGCUUCCUAAUAAUCGACAACAUUAACAGAGCCUUCCAGUAUACAGUAGCAGAGCCUUUGGGUCGUGAGCAGUAGCAAAGCCUUUCAUUGUGGAGGAGAAGGCAGUAGCAGUAGCAGUCCGGAGCAGGAGAAGGUAGUAGCAAAAGUGGAGGAUAAGACAGUAGCAGAGUUAACCUUCAUUGUCUAGUCUUCAUUGGUGUGUGUUGUUGUGUGCUGCUACUGCUUGUUUUGUUGUUGUGUGCUGCUACUGUUUUGUUGUUGUGUACUUCUACUACGUGUAUUGUUGUGUGCUGCUACUGCGUGUGUUGUUGUUGUGUGUUGCCACUGCAUGUUGUUGUUGUGGUGUGUUGCUACUGUGUGUGCUGUUACUACGUGUGUUGUUACUGCAAAUUGUUGUUGCUGCUACUGCGUGUGCUGUUAUUGUGUGCUGCCACUGCAUGUUGAUUCAUGUUGUUGUUAAUGUGUGUUGCUACUGUGUGUUGUUGAUGUGUGCUGCUACUGCGUGUAAUGUUGCUACUGCAUGUUGUUGAUUCAUGUUGCUGCUGUUGUGUGUUAUUACUGCCUGUUGUUGAACUUCCGUAUCAACAACAAUAACAAAAAGUAUUAGUAGCAAAGCUUUCGCCCCCUCCUAUGACUCCUUCAUUGUCUUAGUCUUCAAGCAGUAGCAGAACUAAAGGAUUGCCCAAGCAUACUUGUGCUACUACUAGGAGGUUAACCCCCUGUUAUUACUUAUACUGGAAUGUUAACUCCUGCUACUACUUCUACUGGAAUUAACUGCUACUACACUAAGUUAUAAAAAUCCUGUUACUGUAUUCUAUUUACUAGAAUGUUAACCUCUGCUGCUACUUCUACUGAAAUUAACUGCUACUACACUAAAUUAUUGAAAACCUGCUAUUGUAUUCCAUUUACUGAAAAAUCUCAAAAUGAUAGACUAUUCUCUUCUAAAAACAUAUUUAAUUAGUAUAUGGUUAGUUUGGUAAAUUAAACCAUGACACAUGACAUACAGAGAAAAAAAAUAUCCUUAAUUGUUAAAAAUUAUCCUUAUUUGUUUACCAAUAACACAACACAUGAAUUUAUUUUUGUUGUUUUAAACUCAAACGAGAGAGAGCGAGAGAGAAAAAAAAAAGAAAAAAAGCAAAGCAGAAAAUGGAAGUAGAGGUCGACGAGAAGGAGCUCAAAGCAGCCGGAGCGGAGUUAUUCUCCGACGGACGCCACGGCAUUCGAAUCCACGGCUGGGAAAUCGAGACUCGCAAGCGCUCCAUUCUCAACUCCUCCACCCACGAACUGUAUGCUAUUCUCAAUCAAUUCCCCCAAUUUGAUUUUCUCUGUGAUUCUAGGGUUUUUGAUUUCUAGGGUUUCGUUCUGCAGGUGGGAGGAGAAGCUGGAGACUUGUCACAUGCCGGAGAUGAUAUUCGGGGAGAGUUGUUUGGUUCUGAAGCACGUGAAGAGUGGCACCACUAUCCACUUCAAUGCCUUUGAUGCUCUGAUUGGGUGGAAGAAGGAGGCUUUGCCUCCGGUUGAAGUCCCGGCUGCUGCGAAAUGGAAGUUCAGAUGGUAACACUUGCUGGAUUUUACUUUUUGUACACCAAUUUCGAUCUCGAUAAUUUAGGAUCAACUUCAGAAUAUUGAUAUACUUAUUGACUUUGGAUACUUUAUGAUUUCAUUUGAACUUCUGUCGAGGUGUUCUCAUCGGUAUGAGUUGUUCAGCCUAAUUUUAUGACUUUUGAUUAGAUAGCAUGUUACAUAUUUGAGUACCGAUUUCGAUUUCGAGGCUUUUAUGCUUUAUGAUUCCCUUCACAUGAUGUGCAUCCUCCAAAUCAACGUAUACUUGAUUGAAAUUAGAAUUAAGAAUUUUUUGAAUUAGAAGGCUCUCUCAAUUGAUUAUUGUAUUUAAAAUCCUCAAUAGGGUUUCUUCAUCAAUAUGAGAUGUAGAUUUUGGGAGGGAAAUUACGGCUAUUGUAAAUCUAUUUGGUAACUUGCUUGUGGGAUAGGACCAAUUGUCUGUACUGUAUUGAUGCUCGCUUUGAAUCUUUUGAUCAAGUUCUUUUUUCAUCAGGUAUCAGUUUAAUCGAAGGAUGUAUUUUGAGUCUUACAAUUGUUUUCUGUAUUUUCAGUAAACCCUCCGAGCAAGUAAUACUGGACUAUGACUAUACAUUCACAACACCAUAUGAAGGAAGUGAAACUAUCACUUUGGAUGAAGACAAGGUGCAUUCUCUCUACCUCUCUCUCUCUCUCUCUCUCUCUCUUAUGUUUCAGUGCAUGUAAAUGGUGGAGAAUGUCUUGCCUGAAGUAGGAUCGCACCAUAAUUGGUUGGCAACGCUUCUCUUAUACAUGAGCUAGUGAUUACUAUUUUGUUAAUAAGGGAAUCUCUGUAGCAUGCUAGAAUGGUUAGGAUUCAAAGUCAGUUGUUAAUGGUUAGAAUCCGAAGCAAAAAUCCUAUGAGCUGGGAUUUUUGUUUUUAGGAGAAACCUAUGAAUUGAGGAUAUACAAGCGGUAGUUCCAAUUCUGGAAUCCAUAGAUGGAGUUAGAUUGGUGGAAACCAAGUCAGAUGCUAGACGGAUGAAGCUGAAGUCUUGAAGAGGAGCAAAUCUUUUCAUUGCUAUCUCAUUGGUAACCGCUGACCCUUUAUUUUCUCCUAUGACAUCAAUCUGGGAAGCUAAGUUUUCCCUCAAGAUCAAAUUUUUUAGCCAGCUUCUCGCACAUGAGAGGGUGAAAGUGAAAAAUUAUGGCAGAGCAAGUUUACUGAGGCAGGGGCGGAGUUGGGGCACUCCAUCUGGGUGCCUUCUCUGUUAAAUGAGAUUGACAAUGGUUUUGGCAAAGGAAGAAAAGCUAAAGUUCUUCGAAGUUGCACUUUAGGUAAUUUGGAAUAUUGGAUGGAAGGCUGCUCGCCCUACCGAAGUACCAAAGGCUUUCGAGGCCCGACCUAAAAAAGGGCUUUCAGUAGCACCCUUAGAAUAAAGAAUAAAAGGAUCUAUGGUGACCAUAGUGGAGUGGGAGCGGAAGACCUUUGGGUAAAGGUUAGAUUAAAGACUGCUUUCUCCUCCAUAUUUCCAGAUUGGAAGGAUGCGGCCGUUUCAUGUGCUUUUGUUUGGCCUAGGGUUUAUCUCUUUCAUAGGAUAGAGAAAAAAGUUUACAGACCUAUACUAUAUAUAUAGGAGAAGUUUGAGUGUCUGAGAGAUGAAACACACUUCAUCAUCACCUUUACAUCUUGUACAAAGCUAAUCGUAGACUAAAGAAACAAAGCUACACUAUUAUCUGACAAAGAGAACACACAAAGAUAAGCUAUACAUGUAAACUGAACAGUGAUAAGUAAGGCUAGAAAUCCUGAGGACAAUAGACAUAACUCCAGCCAUACUUCCAAAGGACAUGACCAUGCUUCCACUUCCAACACCAUACUUCAUUGAACACAGCCAUACCAUAUAGCCAUCACCAUGCUCACCAUUCUGCAACAGUAACCAUGCUGCAACAGUGAGCUGCAGCAUUACCAUGCUGCUACAGUGAAGCACAUGCUUCACAAUCACACACCAUCAUGUUAAACUUCAUCUACAAGAUAACUACCAUACUCCUAUACUUCCAAUAGUUUUGCUUUCUCUAGCUGCUGUGAACUUCUUCUACACAGUCGCACACGCCCAUUUCGUGUCUCAUUGUUUGAUUUAAUGGAGCUGCAAGGCUUACUAGUGCAAAUAUUAGUAUUAUUUCUUUUACUGUUUCACCAUAACAGUGAUGCAAUCAGACUUAAUUUUGGUUUUAUGUGGCAGCAUGAAGGAGGAGAGGUAUCUAAGGAGACCUGCAAUCUCAACUGGGAGGACUGCAAAGAAAAAAUUGAUGUGGUUGCAUUGGCAUCUAAAGAGCCUAUUCUCUUUUAUGAUGAGGUGAGAAUCCUGAUAAUUAAGCAGAAGCACUCAAAUAUUCAUGUGCCUAUGCAGAAAUAUGUAUAUUUGUUCUCUUUCUAGGAUAUGUAUACCUGCCAUGAUUUAGAUACUAAUUGUAAUUGAACAGGUAGUCUUGUAUGAAGAUGAAUUGGCGGAUAAUGGUGUGUCACUUCUAACUGUAAAAGUGGUGAGUCUUCAAUCUCUAUUUCUCUCUGGUGGGCUUUAUCUGCUUUAUUCAACAGUCUGAGGAUGAGAACAACUCAUAUCUUACAUUUGAAAUUUCUAGAGAGUCAUGCCGAGCGGUUGGUUUCUCCUCUUGCGAUUCUGGGUGAGCUCUUCUUUUUAGUUCUUGUAGUUUCCCCCUAAAUGUUAUAUUAGCCAAACACAAUAUAUCAUUUUCUUUAUGCUAUUUGCUUUUUUGACACAAGCUCUUUGGAAACUCUUUUAUAAGCUUAACCACAUAUCUUAGCUAAUUGAUGCUUUUUAGUAACUAUAUAAUACAUGUUAGUCUGUGCAUCUUAGUGUUGCCUUUGAUAUUGAAAGUCACUGACUGAGAUCUUCUUGCAGCUUAGAGUUGAUGGAGUGCUUAUGAGAUUAAGGGAUACCCGUAUGCACUGUGCUUUUGAAAAUAAUGUAAAUCCCAUUAUUCUUCGAGAGAGCUGCUGGAGAGAAGCUACCUUCAAAGCUUUGGCUGCAGUAAGUUCAAGUUCUAUGAUAGUUUUGUUGUUUCUUUUGAUGUAUCAAAAAAAAGGUUCAAAUUCUAUGAUCACUGUCAAACAAAUUAUGCAAUACUUUAUUUGUGAUGGUGUCUACUAUUAUUUAGUUUUCUCGACUGUUGUCUUCUAUGUGGAAACAAACUAUGCUUUUGAUUUGUUAAUCUCCCCUACUUUCCUGAAAUGAGUUUGAUAUGUGAUGUAACAAAACUCAAAUAGGCUUUUUAUAAACUGAUGACUUGUUAGAUCCAGGAACUUUUGAGGGAUAAAGACUCGGAUGAAGCAUUGUUUUAGGAAGAGAUAUAAGCUUGAUCCUCUUAACUGUUUCAUCAUAUCUAACUAAUUAGGUUAUGGAAUCCUUCAAAGUUCAGUCGUUCAGAUUUUGUUAACUGAUGGAAUUUAUAUUACAAAGUUCUUUCUUGCACCGUUCAAUCUUAUAAUCUGGAUAAAUUUUGGCAAUCUGCUCAUCCUUAGGUCAAAGUAUGUAAUCUCAAAGAUUCACAAGUUAAGUAAAUCGUAAUAAUGGAAAUUUGUAGUUGAAUUUCAUUAUCAAUUUCUGCAAUCUAUUCCUCAAGUUCUGGUAUAGAAUGUGGAUUUUAAGUGAGUUUAUCUUGUCAACUUGUGGAUGUAAAUUCUGUCUUCAAUUCUAGCUUUGUUUCCGACUAAAAUCUAAUAUUGUUGUUAACUAGUUUCUAAUCAUAGCAACAAUUUUGGUUCAAUUUCUUAGAAGCAAAGAUACAAUACUAUUUCACAUGGCAUUCUUUUAUUAUCUUUAUUGUGGGUUUAUUGGGUAGACAUGACAUGGUUAGUUAGCUAACUGAUAUUUAGUAAACCAACCACUGAAUAUUUUAACUUUUUAGGUGCUACUUGUUGUCUAAUAUUUCCUGAUUAUGAUACUUCUCAUUUACACCUCUCUUUCUGUAAUAUGGAGACAAGAUUUUGUCAUAACUCAUAAGUAUCUUCUCUUGUAUUUGUUGUAAAACAAAUGCCUUUGCUUCGCUCAUUCUCUUUUGUCUAAUUCAAACAAUGCAGAAGGGAUACCCUUCUGAAGCUGCUGCUUACAACGAUCCAAGUAUCAUCAGCCAAAGGCUUCCAGUGGUCAUGAAUAAGACCCAAAAGUUAAAGGUAUCUAGUAACAUGUAACAUUGUAUAUUAUGUUAAGGCAUGAGGAUAUAUUUUAAUCUUUUCUCAGUAUGGUGGAUUCUAUUGCAUGUAAAAAUAUCUUUUAACCAUCCUUUUUAUUCAAGCUCUACUUUCGUGCUUACAACUGUAUUUUCUUUCAUUUUUCAAUCCUGCUUAUUUUAUUGUAUUCUUCUUUCCAUUAUCUAUAGUAAUAGAAAUAGAGACUAGAAAAUGAAAUGUUUAGUGAAUAACUGAAAUUGGAAAUGAAUGAAAUACAGCCACUAUGAGGCAUGAAGUGGAACCAAACAGACAAGUUUCAUGAUGUGGAUGUAGAAUGAAAUACAGCCACUAUGAGGCAUGAAGUGGAACCAAACAGACAAGUUUCAUGGGUUACAAAGAAAAUUUCAGGCUCAUAUGGCUCUUCAAUAGUUCAGUGGUAAAGUGGUCAGCUAUUAUCUGACUAGUUGUAGGUUCAAAUCCUAAUUGGGGGAAUUCUGUUCAUUUCGAAUUGAAGAAUUUUGAUUGAAAGGCUUCACUUAGAUAUGCAUGGAUUACAGACAUACAUAAUUUAGCAUAUAGCAGUCAAUUUAGGGAAAUUGUCAAUUGAGACUUUUAGUAUAUAUUUAAGAUAUUGUUGUUUCUGGAGGUUAGACUGUUGGCUAGGGUACCGUCUCCUUUGCUGGAAGUGAUGACAUGUAAGAAUUAUAGUUGCUCUUUUUAAGAAGGCAAAUAACGUAUAGGUAAAGCAAUGUUAGUAUAAUACGUAGGGGGCAGAAUUUCCUGAUUCUUUAUAAUCUGAUUGUUUGUGAAGCCUAAGUCAGGUUGUAUAAAUGCAAAACUCAGUAUUAUGAACCUAGAUGGAAUCUCUACACCUUGCAUACAACCUACCGAAGCUUUUUUUUUACCUACAAAAAUAUGAUGUUCCGAGUUUGUUGCUUUUAAAAUCUUUGAGUUCCUAUAGUCAAUCUGAUUAUGCAUCAAUCAAUCUCAAGAACUUUCUGGUGUUACCUCUGACAAGCGAGGGAAGCUCUUAGGGAACAAUUUUGCCAAGAGGAAGGGGAAGAUAUUGUUUGCCCCUAUAUAAAAGGAAGCUACAAGUAAAAAAAAAUCAGGGACACAACUCUCAUAAAACUUAGCUAUGAAAUAUAAUGUAUUCGAUAUUAUUACAUGCAUAGAACAGUAGGAACUUCUCCGUAUCAUUCCUAGGGACAGACAACAUAGGAUGAUUCACCAUUGCAGGCCUCUAACCUAGGUUAGUUCUGUACUAAAUAGAUGAAAUCAUUGAGACCUCUGCGAAAGUUCCAAUAGAAAGUCAUAUAUGGAAUAUUCUAAACUGGCGUAGCUGGUGCAUGGAUCAGAGUCGAAGGUUUAAGUCGAGCUUACAUGGCUCUGAUUGUGGCUCCAAUACUUGGGGAUCCAAGUGGAAGCUGCCUGGCCACAUCGAAUGCAUUACAUCGUCAAGUGUGAAAGGCAUCAUGCUAUACCUUGUGCUGGCAUCAUUAAAUCUUGCUACAAACGCAGUUUCAUAUCUGCUUGGCUUGUGCACAAGUGAAUGGGGCUGAACGCUGAGUGACCGAAGCGUUGAAGUAUUGAAGGGAAAGCCCAUCAUUGACAUCAUUCUUUGAGACUGAUAUCUUCUGGCUGCACCUCUUUCUCUCUUGUGGGCGUUCUGGUGGCCUCCUAAUGCCUGGGAGCUGAAGAACUUCCUCAUGCAGAAGUUACAGGAGAAAACCUUGCCUGAAGCUGGUUUCGACUGUGAGUCACUGUCUCCUUCUGUUGAGAGCGAAUUCCCACCAAGGCUCAGGUUUAGCCACUCUCCUUGAUUAAGAUCUUCUGUUUCUUCAUUGAUAUCAUAUCUGUUUGAAUAUUUGCUCUGCUCUUUCCUUGGUUCUAUCUCGCUUUCUGUUUCUCUGUUGGAGAUCAUUUCGUCUCAGUUCUCUAGUGAGGAUAUCAGAUGGAAGUUGAUGAAAUUGGGUAAGCAAUCUCUCUUUGAGGGGUUUUAGAUCAAAGAAGAGGGGAAAGAAAUAGAGAGAAGCAUUAGAAUGUAAAGUGGAGAGUGCCUGUUUUUAUAUUUUAUCACAUCUCUAUGCUGUGGCCCCUGUCUUCUGAUGCUUGGUGCUCCAAGGGGACACUACUUAGGUCAUCUUCACUAUUGCCCUGGUAAAGCUUAGCUGCUUAGGAUUCCCCACUUUCAUAUCUCUCCUUUCUUCUGUUCUGAAAGGAGACCUACUUUAUAUCUUCCAUCUGGAGUGGAGGGUAACUGAAAAAUUCACAAGGUUGACAAUCCUAAAACUCUUUCAUCAACUGUCAAAAUCAUUUGACGUUUAUAUUUAUCCGAAGUGCCUGCCACGAUUGCUUUAGUUCUUAUCCACCUACUGCACACUUUGUAAUUUCUUGAACUUAGUAUGUUGGCUCUUUGUAGUAUUAAACAGCUCAGUGGGGUUAAAUGGCAUGAGUGCUUAUUGUACUGUUCUUAUUCCUUAUAGGAAUAUAUAGGUUAUGUAUCAUGGACCACAGUAUUCGAAUAAUUUUCAGGCAUAUCAGCAGUAUUUCUGAGCAUUACAUUAUAGCCUCUGUUACCCAUUUUUUCCCAUUUUUUCCCCUCUUUUGUGAAGUUAGAGCAUGUCCAAGGAGAUCAAAUUACAGUCUUACUCAAUGCUUUGCAUAUAGUACAAAAGUUCUUAUUUACCCACCGUAUAAGUGCAGUAAUUAGCAAUUCAUUUUGUGUCAAAUAUGUAUGAGAUACGGAUUGCAUUUAAUAUUAAACCAAUGCACCUUUCAUAGAAUGGGAAAUUUUGAGUGUGAGGUGAGAAUUGGUAAGACUCAGAACCCUAAUGAUGCGAUGCACCUAACAGAUCAGUGAGAACUGAGAAGUGAGUGGAGCUAAGAGUAGAUACUCUUUUCUAUUUAAUUGCCUUGUGAUUUGAAGGUUUGUGGGGAGGUCCCAUUAGGGUCCCGGAACAUUGGCAAUAAUGGUUGGAAAAAGUAAGCAAUUAGCAAACCAGAUUGAGUGGUAUCUUUGCUUGCAAAUUUUCGGUGUUUGCUUUUGGACAAUAGUAUCUAAUGUGGGUGUCUUCCUGUUGGGGCUUCUUUGAUGUUCUUUGGAACUAAGUAGUGGAUGAUGUGUAUAUGUACAGUAGUAGAAGUGCAUUAUGAACCACUUGCACACUUGUACUUACAUUUGGACCUUUUAUAACAUAACUGAGGCAUGGACUUCCCCUAAAAAUCUCUAACUUAGAUUCUUCAAGGAACCAAUGAUUUUGAGCUUGCUGGAAGUGUAUAAUGUUUGGUGGUGACUGAUUGCAUGCAUCUUGUGUUACCUUAAGAUCUUGUUAAAGCAUUUGAUCCGAAAUUAAUUGGCCUAUAGAAAUAUACUGUUGUCCGUUGCUUAAUAUUUGUUAUAUUUGAUAUGCACAAUGUGCUUUGUACAUGUUGAGAAGCGAAUCAUGGAAUUUUUCGUGUUGGGUUGAAUAGUGGUCGGUGAAAAGGAGAGUUUUGAUUCUCAUACCUUACUUUGAGUAUGAUGUUAUACUAAAUUUGAGUGUGACACUCAUGGCAGAGGUUAUGAUUUUUCCUCGCCAAAUACCUCCGACUGGCUCAUAGUUUGCAAAGCAAUGGAGAUAAUGGGAAGGAUGUGAUAAAGUUUGGGAAAGCAACGCUGGUGUUUCUAUUUGCAAAUGAGAAGUACCACUUUAUAUUCUGAUUUCUGACUGUAACUGUACCUUUUGCAAGAUGAAAUCCAAGUUUGAAUAACUUCCAUGAGAGUUAUCUAGUGUAUGUCUGGUAAAGUCUCCUGCUUGCUUGCAUUCUGGUAUUCAACCGAGCACAGUACAUUGAACAACUUUAGCCAAGUUCCUCCCCCAAUUUCCUAUCGACUCCCAAUCCAAGACCAUUGCUUCUAAGCUAACACCUUCAACUCUUAGAACACAUGACCUUAAAUUUUAUGAGAAAAACAACCUUUGUUAGGUUAUCCAACUCAUUGAUGAACAAAGUAGGAUCGCUUUAGCUGGUAGUGGAAUUCCAAUUCUACUAUUUGUAAAGGGAUUAGUGGAAACAAGUAUCAUGCGAAGUCGUCAAGUGGGUUUGUCCAUCUUUGGAACACUUCACUUUCCCCAACUUGAGUUCAAAGCAGCAGUCAGUACGCAAAAGCUACUUUGCAAAUAGAGUAUCUCUCUAUAAACUUAUAAAGGUUAUACCCUAGUGUUAUCAUUGUAUGAAUUGCAAUUUUCCUUUUCAAUCUUAUGAAGAGACCAUAUUCGAUUUCGUUUAAACUAUGGCAAGACGUAUGAACCAAUAGAAUAUGAAUUGCACUUGAUUGUCAGGUUAUGAGUGGCGCAUUACAAGUGAGACAAUCAAGGAGGUCAACUAACUACCUCGCCAGUUUGUCUGUUUUCUUUCUUUGAUUCCGGUUUUACAAUAGUGAUCAUUGUCAUAAUGAAUCUUUGUAUUAAGUAUCAACUAAUCCCUGAUGAACUACAAAACUUCUUAGUCAAGGUCUAGAUGUGGAUUUAUGAUACCCUCCCGAGCCUAGGGAUCAUCCCUAAGUUCUACCUCAAUUCUACAAAAAUUUUUGCGGCCAACAUGCAGCAUACCCUUCUGGGUGGUAUGCCCAUCUUUGAGCUCCUUGCUACUGGGAGGGAGACCAGCUUAACAUUUGUGCUUGACCGAGAAGAUCACCAAUGCCUUACAUUUGAGGCUAUAGCCGAUGUUAAAAAGACGAAGACGCUUGCUGAUGCUAAACACCGGGAGAGAACCCUAACAAACAAAAUCCCAAAUGGGAUUAGCCUGUGCAGCCAACUGGUUCAGGAAACACCAAUCCCGUUCUCAUUGCAUGGAUUACAGGAUGGGUUGCACCACCAGCAUAAAUGUCGCGCACCAACUGGAGGAACAGUGAACCAAUUGUCACAACUGGUGGAAUCACUCGCUAACAGCCGACGCCUGACGGAAUUUGAGCAUCAGUCAGUUCGUUAGAUUAACUCGCAACCUUACACACACCAGCAGAACAAGACGGCCAACACUUUUCUUCGUUGAAUCAGGCGGGCAUUUUCUACAUAGCUAAUACUCCAACAGGAUUUCAGAUGAGAAUGUUGCACCUUUUAUAUGUCACCAAACCCAAAUGCCAUACAAGAUCAGAACUCAAUUGCAUUCUGAAGUUUUUUUCAAUGAGAAUUGCCGUGAUGAAGUUGAUUUUCCAUAUGUUAGCAUUUAACCAGUACCAAAGACUAAUUAUACAAAAAAAAAAAGAACAACACUAUCUGCUCAUCACAAGUCUGCUCGAGUUAUUCAAAAGGGGUUGAGAGUUUCCCAGUUAAAAUCGAGGACAUGUUUUCUACUUCGAUACGAAGAGAAUGGAAGCAGUUAAAAAGAGAGCAGUGCAAGGCACGGCCAACCCUCCAAUCCAAAUUGAACCAACUCCUGUUUUACUUACUAUCUAACAUGGUACAUAUGACUAGAGUUAUUUUGUUCUAGACCUGUGGGUAAAAGAUUUAGGUUGAGUAUCGACUCCAUAGUAUUUCCCAGAAAAAAGACAGACUAGGUUUUGACCAAACAAGACUGGGGGUGAGUACUGACUCAAGUCUCCAAACUGAGUGAGAAACAAGAAUUACACUUCGGGGUUCCUACGCUUUGGCAAUCCAACAAGAGAAGACCAUAACUCAUGAACUAGCUUCUAUCUUUGUUCCCCCUUAGAAAAAAAAUACACUGGGCCAAGCUAGCAGACACUAACAGCACUAUAAUGCGACACUACUGUGUGCUCUCGUUAACAACUUGAGCACCCCAUGUGCAGCACUAACCAUGCAUUAUUUUGAUACCAAUCAAAAUCAUGAGUCAAGCAUUGCGUCAAGAAUGCAAGAUCAUUGAAAUGACAUGAAAAUUUGAAUUCAGAAACAGUUUAAAUUAGACUUCAUAGAAUGAUGUUUAUACUCCUCUGAGCAACUAAUUGUAUCUAAACUUCUUUGAGUAACUAAAGAAAAGACAUACUACACAAUAGCCCCAUCAGCCCUGCUUAGCAAACAUCAAUAGCAAGUACUUAUAAACUACGCAUGAAUUCAUAAAGUUUGUCGGAGCCAAUCAGUCAUCGCAAAUGCCACAAAGUUUAUCAGAAGUGACAUGCUAGUACUCACAGGAAAAACUAGUACAGGUUUAGAGUUGACAACAGAAUGUUGAAACAACUACCACAAAACAAAGAAAUGGACCAAGAAUGAGGCUGAAAUUGAAACACUACAGACAUUAACCCAAAAGUCAUUCCAGAAAUUGGAUCAAUCUCCAAGUUUCUUAUUAUGGAUAAUUAAAAUGCAUACUCUACCUAAACUUUCAUAAUCCUUGAGUGCUCACUACUGAACAGAGCGAGUAUCCAAUCUCUACGAUCACUCCAAUAUCUAGUUGUACUCAACUAUGCUAUGUCGAUCCAAAAAGCCCUUCAAGUCCCUGCAACGACAACAAAGGUGUAAAACUUUGUUAGAACUUAAAUUAGCAGUAACAUAUUAUAACUUAUUCAUGAAAUCAAAACAAAUCAGAAAUCCUCAUUCGUCAAAUUCAUAUAUUAGAACAAAAAAAGCAAAAAAAAAAGACAAAUAACAUUUUAUUGUCCACAAUGGUUCAUCCAGAAUGGGAUGGUGAUUAAUUAUUCAAAGUAAAGCUCAGCAAACAGCCAAACAGAUAACAUGGCACUUCUGCACUAAAAGUUGAGUUUAGAACAUAAAUGCAGCCGAUCAAAGUAUUUCUAAAGCAUGGAUUUAAAAUGUAUAAGAUUAAAACGGUGAUUGUGCAUUGUUUAGUUCCAUCUAUUUACUUUGGGUAAAGGAAAUCAGAGGGCCAAUCUCUUGCAAAAACCAAAUGUGGAAACUUGACAACCAAUCAGACUGUCUGAAAAUGCAUCAACUGAUAUAUUAGACCCUCCUGACACAAUACGCGUGGCCACCUAAUUGCAUCAGUUUUUAAUCUAAAUCUAUGAGAAACAAUGCUCCUCUGAGAAACCAAUAUAUGUUGUGCAGAAAUCAUAACAAAAAUUUUCAAAUGAAAAUACAUAAAAAUGACUUUUUAGAAGGAAAAAACAACACAACAGAAGAAAAGACAUUGGUCCAACUAAUGUGCCCCUCACUCCACACCUUCAGAAACAAAAAACAGCACAAAAGAAAAUUGUGGAGUAUGUUUCAUAUUUAACAUGGCAAUGCUUUCUCCAAGAAAAUGUCAGCUACACAGAGCAACUAUUUGUUGCUAUCAUUCAAUUCGAAAAUGGAAGUAUUAAAAUUCAUUUCGUAACACAUUUCCCUGACCACGAGUCAGUUUGUUUACUUAAAUCAAGAAUGAAAAGUUCAUAGUUCAUAUCUAUAAAGUCCAAGAAAGGAAUGAAAGACAACCUACUAAGAUGCAUCACUCUUCUGCCUUUUGGUUGAUUGUAAGUCCAAGCGCAUCACCCAUCUUUUCCAUUCCUUCCUAUCAAUCCCAAUCCCAAUUCCUUAAUCAUUAUCCAACAUUAACUUAUUUAUAAUCUACCUAGUGCGUAGACAACUCUAAUGAAACAAUGUCUUUUCUAGGAUGACAAUAUUUGUUUACUCUUUCCUACGGCAUCAGCCCAUGGACAGAAAACCAGAUCGAAAAAGCAUUUCUUUUCUUUCAAUUUUGUCAUGUGUCCUAGAAACAUCAAGACUCACAAAUAGACUACUAGCGAUCCUGACAAGUACGGCAGAAGGUACCGUGAGACAGCUCGCAACAAGCACGCAUAUUGACAGUCAGGUGAGAUGUGAGGCAUGUUGCAGUUCGCAUUGGCAGCAGCGACUGUGCGCAUCCCAGUUCUCCCAGGUUCCUAGAAGAAAACAAAGACCAUUUAUUAUCCUAAUCAGUAUGAAAGGUUAACAAGAAUAAUUAUUUCUUUUCCUGCUUUUGUGUAACAAUUCCAAAAUUUUGUGUUGGGAACUCAAAUAACUAUUAGAUAUCAAAGAGUGCAAACAUUCUACAGUAAAAUCCAAUAUGACCCCUCCGUCCCACAUAAUAAUGGGUACAAAAGACUGCCGUUUGAACUCAGAAUGGCUCUCUACCCGGAAAAGCAUGAUUUUGAGUUUAAUUUCUCUCUCCCAAACAGUGAAAAUGAAUGAAAAGACAAGAUUUUGUCUUCCCUGUUUUUUUCAUCUUUCAAAAACAUCAUCAACAAAACCAUAUACAUUCUGUAUUUGAAAUUAUAAGGAAAGAACAAAAUCAACAGAUAACGGUAAGCUAAAAACCAGUCAUUGGCUCCUUGCAACCAGCACAACCUUUCAUCAGUCGAAAUUAAAAUCGAAAGCUUCAAUUUUGAUUAAAAUGGUAAACCCAAAUCAACUACUACUACUUCAAUGCACUACCAGGGAAUUCCAAUCAAACCAAAUCAACAUAUACUCAUUCGAAUCAAACCACUCAUUUCAAUUGAAAAAACCAAAGCUUUCAAUUUUGAUUAAAAGAUGGUGAACCUUUUAUCUACUCCAAACAGUCGAAAACGAAAGCUUCAAUUUUUAAGUUAAAAAUGGUGAACCCAGAAUCAUCAUACAAAACCCAAAUCAACCACAACUACUCCAAUGAAUUCCAAUCAAACCAAAUCAACAGAAAAGAUUGAAAUGGGGACCUGGGAGAGGUGAAGGAGAAGCGGCGAGCGGCGGGAGCAGUGGGCGGGCGGAGGCGCCGGAGAGUUGGGGCGGAGCGGUGGAGCGAAACCCUAGCGGCGGAGGCCAAGGACCGAGAGAGCGAACCAGCAGAGCGCAAAGCCAUUCUUUUUCCUCUGAGUCUGUUUGUGGCAAAAGGCAAGGGCUUUGUGAGGGUUUUCAAGUGUUUGGUUGUGGGUAAUGGUGUGGCGCGGGUCUAUGGUAGCUUUUGUGGACUAGCCAUUUCUGAGACGUCUGAUUCUUGUAGGGGUUUGUUUGAUGCCGUUGGAUUAGAGAUGUGUUUUGGUUUGAAGAGGAUUUGCGUUUUGCUUGAUGGUAAAGAACCGAUGCUGAUUUGAUGAGGAGAAUGAGUGUUUUCCAAGUUACAAAUUACUUACAUUUUCUAUUUGUUACGAUUUUGAUGUUUUUUUAGAAAUGUUAUGUUAACCGAUAAAGUUUGUUAGUGAUUGUAUUUCUAUCCACGAUAUUGAAUUGAUAUCCGAAAUCUAGAUCUAGUAGGGUUUGCAAUCUUCAAGUUACAGAUCAAUUCGAGCACCCACUACUUGAACAUAAGGGACUACUGUAUGUGCUCAUUUUGACGAGGACAAAAUGUGUUUUCCAAGUUACAAAUUAUCAAAGCUACGAUUUUUAUUUUCACUUUAUGGAAUAUUAUGACAUACAAUUUCAAUAUUUUUUCUAGAGUUUUUAUGAUAUGUUAGAAUAUGGUAUGUCAAUAAAGUUUGCAAUCGAUUGUAUUCCACGAUAUUGAAUGAUGAACAAAAUCUAAAUCUUACAGGUUUUGCAUAGAGAACUCUUCAAGUUGCACAUCAAUUUGGGCACUAAACACUUGAACACAAGGCACUAUGAGCUUCCGGUGACGAUGUUCAGUUGUUCACAGUUUUCCAACAUACCACUUAUUUUUGUUUGUCACACUAUUGCACUAAAAAUUAGGUACCGUCUCAAUGUUCUCAUCUCACUGAACCCUUCUCAAAAGUACCUCACUAAAUUCUUCUCAGAAGUGUUACUCAUGGUACAAGACUACAAGUAACAGUUAUUCUCUCAUUUGGUGGAAUCUGAAAUUCCACAACAGAUUCAAUAGCUAAUACAAAGGAACCACAGAGGGGGCUUUAUUUUCAGGUUUCAUAACAAUUAAAUAAAUUUAACGUCAAAACUGGAUCGUAUGCUGUUUUCUUAGAGACUUGCUGUCCUCACACAUUUUAACUGUUUGUUGAAAGUAUAUAUCCUGCCGGACGAUAUGUUUGCCGUGACUGUACUUCCUCUAUAAUGUAGUUUUUGAACAGUGGUGUUGUCCUUGGACCAAAGGCCAACUUCGUGAAGAUCUCCUUCAUUCCAGCAGAUGUUGACUGUCACCCCGCCGCGUGCCUUCAAGCCUUUGACACAACCAUUUGCCCAUUUAUCCCGGGGAAGAGCAGGAAGUAAAUACAAGUCCUUGACUGUGCUUUGGACAAGCAUUUCGGCAACUGCUGCUGAAAAACUGGCACCAAAAGAGACAAAUGUAACAGCAUUGUCAUGCUAACUUAAAAUGGGUCAAAGUCACUACAAGAAAAUUCAUUCACUAACAUGUGAAGUUUGCAGUAUGACAUGAUAAGAUAUGUGCCUGGAACCAAUAUAUACAAAGUCGGGCAGAAUUGGUCAUAAACAAAACGAAUUGAACCAAUUUAGCUUACCCAAAGUUGGCAUCAAUCUGGAAAGGAGGAUGUGCAGUGAACAAGUUACUGUAUAGUCCUCCUUCAAAAUCACUUUCAUGCUCUGGAUCCACCAAGUCAAUCAAAUGCUUGACCAUUCGAUAUGCAUGUUCACUGUUGUGAAGACGUGCCCACAAUGCAAUCUUCCAUGUAGUUGACCAACCUGGACCUUCCUCUCCUGUUUUGGUGUACAUGAAUACAAAGAGCGGUAAGUGUAUAAUCAUAUAAAAAGUCACUUCCUGGGGAUUGAAAGACAAAAAUGAUACAUGUGACAUACAAACCUCUUUUAUAAAGAGUAUAAUCCACUGCUUUACAGAGGUUCGGAUUUUUUCCCAGCGUUAUUGUGUGACCCGGGAACAGGCCAAACAGGUGGGAUACAUGUCGAUGGUGCACUUCUGGGUCCUCAAAAUCUUGUGCCUGUAUCAUAAAUGAGAUAAUUGUUUUAUUACAAAAGGUGUGACGAUAAUUUAACCAACUUCAUCAGAGAUCAUAAAAGACCUGUAAACAGAUUCCUAAAGAAUGAAAUUUAAGACUACUGGCUCACCCAUUCCAUAAUAGAACCAUCUCUAGCAAUUUUUGUGGGUGGAAGCCUUGAUUGAGCAUUGCGAACGUUUUCAACAAAAGUAUUUUGAGUUUUUCCUAAAACCUGUUUUCAAAACGAGAUACUAUUAGACUUAUAUAUACACAAUUUCUAUAGCUAAGCAUGAUUUAACAGGCAUACAAUUAGAGUUCAACCUCAGCAGCAGAAAGUACUGCAGAAAAGACUUCUUUAAUGAUUGAGAUGUCCAUGGUUGAUGAGUAGCUCACACUGGCCUGCUUACCAUCAGGAGCAAUAAACAUGUGCUCUGGUGAAGUUGAUGGGUUGGUUUCAAGAUACCCACCACGUCCUUCAAUCAACCAGUCCAGCAGAAAUGAUGCACAUCCUUCCAACAAAGGAUAUGCCUUAUUUUUCAGGAAAUCCUAAUUACAGAAAAAAUUAAGCCGCAUUAUUCUACUAGAAACAGAUUAGUCAGAUAAGACGAGAAACAGAUACAUAUACUAGUUUCUUAAUACAGAUGGUCAUACAAUUGGCAUUCACUGGUCAGUGGUAACUAAAUUAGACUGCUAAUCCAACAGUCAUGUAGUUGGGACUUGGGAGUGAUGGUACCUAAAACAUAACCUCUCUCUCUCCAAGAAAGAGAAAACAGACAAUGUUUUGACAGAAUAGGAGCUCACUUUAUCCAUUGUAUAAGUAUAAUGUUCCCAUAGAUGAGUACAGAUCCACGCUCCCCCCAUUGGCCAUAAAGCCCAUACAGCUUGACCUCGAUCCGGUGAUGUUUUCGCCCAUAUGUCAGUCACUUGAUGCACAACCCAACCACUGGCUUCAUAGUUGACCUGAAAUUUUUUAUCUGAAAUGAAUAAGGUAACACACAGAGAACCAGGGAACUAUUUAUAAGUAAAUGCAUAUAUUAAUUGAUCACCACUGAUAGAAUCAUGCUUCAUUGCAUAUGAACUCCUGCUAAAGAGCAGCACUUAGGAGAUGCAUCAGUUGUCCAAGUGAAUUGCAAUUGGCCAUCAUAUGGGCACUGCGAAUGAACUUGUAGUUUUUUUUUUUUUUCUUUUUUCAUGUAAUUCUAAAACUUUGAUGCCUCUCACAAUUUCAUCUCAGAAUGCUGAUUUGCAGCAUAUUUGUUUUAUCAUAUUGGUCUCACUCAAGAAAAACAUCAUCCCAAUGUACUCUGGUAACAAGAGCCCAAUACAUUCAUAGCAUAAUAGGAGGACACAAUAAGUUAAGGAAGGGUUUGAAAAUAAACUAAAGGGACAGGAUUCUCACCUUCGCAGUUUUACUUCCGUUAAUAGAUAAUAAAGAUGUGUAAUCAAAUAAGGGUUCCUGGCAUUCUCGUAGAUUACAAGGAAGGGAAGGCCAGUAGUUCAUCUGAAGAUUAAUGUUCGUAUGAGGAGCACCACUGAAAGAAUAAAGGUGAUGUAAGUAACACCUCAUAUUACUGCAAACAUGUAUGAUAAAUAAACAUCACCAAAUUAAUUUAGCUAUGCGAAUGUUGAUGUAUUUAACUCUAUCAUGGUUCACUUGUCAUGUUGUUACACUCCCCUAUAUGUCCCUACUCCCUAGAUAGCAAAUCUAAAACAGAUCCAUAACCUAGGAGACACACACAAACGCAUAUGAACAAAAUAUAAAACACACACACAGGCCGGAUGUGAAGCGGACGUCCGCACUCGGCUUAAAGUGCGGACCUCCAUCCGUUCUCCACUCUCCGGCACCGGCGACGGCGCGCCUCCACCCCAGAAGACUCCACCAGCGUUCCAGACGACUUUCCCUCCCCGGAGAGUCCAUUAUUUUCCAGUUUUCCGGCGAUCACUCAAAACUUCAAACAAAGUCGAUCUCGCCGGAAAACUGGAAAAAAAACGGACUCACCGGGGAGGGAAAGUGGUCGGGGACGCUGGUGGAGUCUUAUGGGGUGGAGGCGCGCCGUCGCCGGUGCCGGAGGGUGGAGAAUGGAUGGAGGUCCGCACUUUAAGCCGAGUGCGGACGUCCGCUUCACAUCCCUGCUGCAUACAUACAUACAUACAUACAUACAUAUAUAUAUAUCUAUUGUGUGUGUGUGUGUAUACACAGAGAGAGAGAGAGAGAGAGAGAGAGAGGAGGAGAGGAGAGGAGGAGGAGGAGGAGGAGGAGGAGGAGGANNNNNNNNNNNNNNNNNNNNNNNNNNNNNNNNNNNNNNNNNNNNNNNNNNNNNNNNNGAGAGAGAGAGAGAGAGGCGCAUACUCCCAUGCAGGUUCAAUUUUGUAGUUCCAGAUACCCUGCAGGUUUGCAGGCUGAGUUCCAGGGCGUGAACAGGAAAUAAGAAGAUAUCGACCAUACUGGAACAAGAGUUCCACAAAAGAAGGAUCUUCAUCAAUUUUAAAGGUUUUCACCCUGUCAGCAGUAGAACCCAAGGCAUUGUCAUUUCCCUUACAAUUUAAACUGGUUAUAUUGUUGCACUUCUUCAUCUCCAUGGUUUUAUUUCCAAAUAUGCUCUUAGAGCUUUUAGAGAGCUGCAAUGAGACCCGAUGAAAGAGAUUCUGAUAGUCAUCCAAAUGACGAGCAUAGAGGUCAGAAUAUGAAAUUCUUUUUAUUGAAGUCAAUGCAGCAAGAGACUCUGAAGUCGGAUUUCUCUUAGAAUCAGAAGGCUUAGUAAAUGGAUCUUCAAAUGAAGAUGAGGCUACCAGAAGCAAAAUAGCCCAAUCUGCCUCUUCAACUCUAAUUUUCUUGUCAUCCAGAGAAUGUAUCACACCUUUGUCACCACUAAUCUGCAAAUCAAGAACUGCAGUAAACUGAAUCCCCUUAGGAUUGUCAUUAGCCUUUGGUGCGAUUCUUUUACCAGGACAACUUCCUUCAAGUAUAAUUUGAUUUUGACCAUUUACAUGAGAACCAUGAUGCAACUUGCUGUCUAACGAAACUGUAAAUGAUAGGGACCCUGAUUUGCUUGCAGAGAUCUUUGUCACAAUCACUUGAUCAGGAUUUGAAGCAAAAUGCUCCCUAGUAUAUUUUACCUCUCCCACAGAAUAUUUUAUCCUUGCUGUUGCAGUAUCUAGGUCUAGCUCUCUGCUGUAAGUUUCUUCAGCAUACUUGAGAUGUAAAUCAUCAAAUUCUAGGUUGAUAUUGCCGAGUAGUUGGUAUACCUUCAUAAAAAGUAUAUAACAGAAUAUUAUUCCAGAUUAACCAAAGUCUCCUCAUAUAAUACGUUGAAGCCAUCAAAUUUGAACUUUAGAAGUAGCAUUGACAACAAUAAGCUUCUACUACUGUGAGUUUGUGACAUAAUUGUAAUCUUGGUAAACAUAAGCAGUGAAUGGCAAUACUCCAAUAGAGUUACCGUACAAAACCUAAUGGUAUCUCAAAACAGACCUCUAUGAGAUUGUCUACUCAACUCUCUGACUGAUUAAAUUAGCAUUCCAUUAUUACCAACAAUCAGCAAAAUUAGUAAUUGUACUGAAUGUGUUUAUCUUCUGGCCAAUACUCAGAGAUUUCUAUUGAGUAUAAUUGUAUAACAAAGGAAGCAUAAUUGAAGUGGAUGAAGUUACAUACAUCAGAAGGAUCCCCCGUCAACUUGACCGCUGCUUCAGUAGCUUCAGCAUAUUUGCCAUCAUCAACAAGUUGCCUAACCUCAGUUAGUGCCUGCGGAGCAUUUGUGUUGGUGUAGUUGCCUGGAGUUCCAGUCCAGAGUGUAUCCUCUACACCAAUCGAAACUUUAUGUAAUGAGUCUCACUACAAUUUAUGGUGUGUGCCUCUGUGCAAGAGAGGGAGAGAAAGAAAAUAGACUUAGAAUGUAGAAUUGAAUUCAUCAUUAAGAACCUGAGAAGGCAAAAAUCUGAAGUCAACUAACCCUAAACCCUGUAAGAAUAAUCAUCGUUUCAAAACAUUUCUGUAUAUCUCAGAUUUCUCACCCACCAAAAUGAAUACUGACGACCAAAAUGUUCUCAAUGACAAAGUAGGAUGAACCAUCCCAAAAGAGGCUCAACAAUCAACACCUAUACAGUAUCAUGCAUUCAAAUUCUACUCAUUUUCAAGCACAACAUGCACAAAUCCUGAUUCAAUUCGUGGUCCCUCUACAAAUCAUUAGCUCACUCAAAAACAUUAGUGAAACUGAAACCACGUUAUUCUUUAAUCUUUCCAACGCCUCUAUAAUCAAAGCCACCAAACUCACAACCCCGAGUAUCUCACUUGAACCAGGAUACAGGAAACCCAAUAAAACACCGGUAAUCACAAUAGGAAAUCGCAAUGCAGGUCCCAAUUUAAUGAAUGCAAAACACCUAUACAAUGAAUGUAAUCACACUGUCAAGCAGUGAAGAUCCCAAUCUACACUUUGUCCCACUAGGAAAAUGCAAUUGAACUAGAAUACCAAGCAUUGCAACCGACAUAGAUCAUUUGAUUGGCGCAGAGGAUACUCUUGCAUUCACAUUCUAAUCAGAUACAUAAUUCAGAAUGCCAAGCAUUUCAAGCAACACCAGACCAAAACACAGAAAACCCAAUUGAAGAUCAGUUAAUGUGAACACAAUGCAAAUAAAGCUUUGAACUUCACCAUUAAGCUGAAGAGUUUCUGAAGCCACACCACCCCAGACCAUAGCUCCAAGCCUCCCAUUCCCAAUUGGAAUUGCAUCUGUCCAGAACUUUGCAGGCCCACCAAAAGUAACCUUCAAAGGCUCAGAACGCUCCUCCUCCUUCACUAAACUAGGAGUCCAGAGGUCUUUUUCUGCAGGCUGCCGCACCAGAACCCAGUCACCAUCCUCCAUUGCACACAAGAAUGAAAAGGGUCCAACAGAAACAAGAAGAUGAACCCCCAAAAGCAUAUAAAGCUUGCAACUUUGAGUUUGAGUGACACAGAUGAGUUGUUAGUCGGUGAAGUGGGGAAGGAGUGUGAAUGAGAGUGAGACAUAGUAAUCAAAGCUCGUGGGGUGGUUUGGUGGUUGGGUGAAAUGGGUUUUGUCUCAUUGUCUGGUCUGUAGAAAAAGGUUCCCAUGUAAACGGUAAACCUGUCAUAUUUAUCUCUGUUAAGUUCAAGUUUGUUGUAAAUAGUUAUUACUUAGUGGAUAUUCUUAUAAUUAACCAACUAAGGUUGUUAUUAUAAUUUACAUCAUGACCUUAUCUUUAUAUAAGAGAUGGUUCUCUACUCAAUAAUACACACAUAUUCUCUUAUUCUCUUGGUUGUUUCUCUCAUUUCUCAAUCUAUUUUUUUAUUUUAUAACACGUUAUCAGCACGAAUAGUUCUAACGCUAAGGUAGUUUUUUAGAAAAUUUCACAACAGUCAUCUUUCAACAUUUUUUCCCUUAUAGAUCCACCUUAAACUUUUUANNNNNNNNNNNNNNNNNNNNNNNNNNNNNNNNNNNNNNNNNNNNNNNNNNNNNNNNNNNNNNNNNNNNNNNNNNNNNNNNNNNNNNNNNNNNNNNNNNNNNNNNNNNNNNNNNNNNNNNNNNNNNNNNNNNNNNNNNNNNNNNNNNNNNNNNNNNNNNNNNNNNNNNNNNNNNNNNNNNNNNNNNNNNNNNNNNNNNNNNNNNNNNNNNNNNNNNNNNNNNNNNNNNNNNNNNNNNNNNNNNNNNNNNNNNNNNNNNNNNNNNNNNNNNNNNNNNNNNNNNNNNNNNNNNNNNNNNNNNNNNNNNNNNNNNNNNNNNNNNNNNNNNNNNNNNNNNNNNNNNNNNNNNNNNNNNNNNNNNNNNNNNNNNNNNNNNNNNNNNNNNNNNNNNNNNNNNNNNNNNNNNNNNNNNNNNNNNNNNNNNNNNNNNNNNNNNNNNNNNNNNNNNNNNNNNNNNNNNNNNNNNNNNNNNNNNNNNNNNNNNNNNNNNNNNNNNNNNNCCCUACUACUCUCUCUCUCUCUCUCUCUCUCUCUCUCUCUCUCUCGCAUAGAUGACGAAGGCGAGCUCCGGCGCAUUCAUGCCCGGAGACGACGAAGAAACUCUAAUCGGAUGGAGGAACAAGCUCCGGUGAAAUCGAGAUCUAUGUACUUACACUAUCGUCUGCUUCUCAAUUCUUCAGAUCUCACACAGAUAACUCAUUUUUUUUAUCUCAUCCUUUGUUGCUCUCUACGAUUCUGUAAUAACUGAACGCAUUCGAAUUUGUGUUGAUAGAUCGUGAUUUGAUCCGAAUUGCAGCAAAAUCGAAUGGAGUUAAAGAUUGCGAGAGUUCAAAUUGCGACGAGUCUCCUGACCUUAAGAUGCAGCAACAGCCUGACGACGGAGUUGAGGUUAAGGCACCGCCGUCGCCGACCAGCAUCCACCGCUAAUUCGUCAAAGGAGGUUAAGCACAACACUUGAGAAACUCCGUUGAUGGAGCGACGUCUUUUCUCUCAUCGUCAACGACCAGAUCUGAUCUCCAAUCUCAUUUUUCUUGUUUGAUUUUCCAAUCGUCGAAUUUGUUUACGCUCUUUAGNNNNNNNNNNNNNNNNNNNNUGAAAUGAAACCACACAGAUUCUUUUUUCUUUUUUUUUGUUAAUCCGUGUAUCUAUAUAAUUAUGAUGAAUUAUUUGGUUAGUGUUAGUAAUGGUGGUGUGGAUGUUUUAGAUGUUCAUAGUUGCAGCAACUUGAUUUUCCAGAUUUUUGGGUUAGUAGCAGCAUUUAACGUAGAAUUGGUGAAAGUAGCUCUUGGGAUUGGUAAGAGUAGGUUUUGGUAUUUGGUAGUAGCUUUUGUUGUGUUUGAUAGUAGUUUUUGUUGCUACUAGUAGUAGUUUUUCUUGCCUGCAGUAGUAACUAUUGGUUUGGGUAGUAGUAGCUAUUGGUACGGGUAACAGUAGCUUUAUUUGUUGGCGGUAGUAGCUUUAUUUGUCGUCGUAGCUUUAUUUACCGGUGACAGUAGUUUUAUUUGUCGGUGGUAAUAGCUUUAUUUUGUGAUGGCAGUAGGUUUUGUUGUUGGUAGUAGUAGCUUUAGUUAUCGGCAGUAGUAGCUUUUAGUUAGUACUUUUUGUUGUUGGUUGUAGCUUUUCUUUCUGAUGGUAGUAGUUUUUGUCGCUGACAAUAGUAGUUUUUCUUUCCGGUGGUAGUAGCUUUUCUUUUCUGUGGUGGUUGUAGUAGCUUUUGUUGCCGGUAGUAGUAGCUUUUUGUUAUCAGAAGUAGUAGCUUUUAUUACUGGCGGUAGUAGUUUUUGUUUAUAGCAUCAGUAGCUUUUGUUGCCAGAGGUGGUAGUUUUUGUUGCCGGAAGUAGUAGUUUUUGUUACCGGAAGUAGUAGCUUUUGUUACCGAAAGUAGUAGCUUUUGUUACCGGCAGUAGUAGGUUUGAUUGCUGGCUGUAGUAGUUUUUGUUGCUAGCGGUAGUAGCUUUUGUUGCAAUAAUAGCUUUUGUUGUUGGUUGUAGUAGCUUUUGUAGGUAGGGAUAGUAGCUUUUGUUGCCGGUUGUAGAAGCUUUUGUUGUUAGUAGUAGCUUUUGUUUGCGGCAGUAAUAGCUUUUGUUGCUGACAGUAGUAGCUUUUGUUAGUGACGGUAGUAGCUUUUGUAGUAAGUGGUAGUAGCUUUUGUUGUUAGUUGUAGUAGUUUUUAUAGCUAAAGAUAAUAGCUUUUGUUGCUAGAGGUAGUAGCUUUUGUAGUCGGUGGUAGUAGCUUUUCUUGGCGGUAGUAGCUUUCGUAACUGUCGGAAACCUCGCCGAAGUUGGCCGGAGACAUCGCCGGAGGUCGGCCGGAGUCCGUCGGAGAUCUCGCCGGAGAUCUAUCGGAGACUUUUCCGGGAAGGAGAGUGGUUGUUGACGUUUUACAUUAGUGACAUUUUUGUAAAUAUAAGAGAGAAAAUCUAAUUUUUUGGUUGGAUGGCAGUCUGUAAUUUAGUUGAACUUCAAUACCUUUAUUUAAGCUUGGGUGGACUUAUGUGGGUAAAAAUAUUUGGGUGGACCUCUAUAGGAUAAAAUGUCUCAAAAUGGACUUCUAUGUAAUUGGCCCGUAGUUUUUAUGCAGCAUAUGGAAGAGAGACCGUUGAUCAAUUGAUGGAAGAAUCAUUCAACAUGGUUCAAAAUUUCAAUCACAAACAAGCUCUCGGAUUGGAUUAGAAGUUUAGUCCACCAAUAUUCUCGGUUCUGACACAUAAGAUGAACACUCAUUGAUUCGCUUUGCAUCGAGUAAAGUUUUCUAAAUUCUAUUAUAAUUCAUGUUUCUUUCAAACCUUGAUUACAUGAAAAACCAUCCUGAAGCAUGAACCAUAUGUUGUUUAUGUUUCGAUCUUGUGAUUUUGAUGCUUAUUAACUUUGAUUGCAUAUUGAAAAAUCCGUCUACGAUGCAUGAGCACCAAAUAUAUUUUAUUAGUCUAUUUGGUUAAUACAUAUGAACAUGAAAUGUCAUAUAAGUUUUCUUAUGUUAUUAGAAUUGGAAAAGGAAAAUAUAGCACCAAAAGGAAAAUCACUACGGAGGCUAGUAGCCACCGAAAUCAACCUUCGCAAUUGCCUAGUAGUGCAGACAAGGAGGCACAUGGAUCAGCAAAAAGUAUAGUUUUUCAUGAUAUCCAAACUCAGGAUCAUGCAUGCAUUCCAGAAGUAGUGCUUGUAACCAUUAAGGUUUUACCAUUAAUUUGGUCAAUGAUAGCAGACGUUACAUAUAUUCCAUAUUCAUUAUGCCUGAAGCAUUUAGCGAUAAGAAGGAAUUAAUAUUGCUCUUAAUGGGGUUUAAAUAAAAUCCGUUAGUAAAUGUUACGUCAAUGAUAUAACGACAUUUCAGUGCUAAUCAUGUUACUUAAUUGUAGUUUAAUAUGUAUAUUUUGUCAGUUACAAAUUUGAAUUGUAUCAAAUUCAAUAUGUCAUUUAAGGACAUGUAAUGCCA
rnacentral:lncRNA from 1 species